AUGGCCAUACCAUGAUGACAACACAGGUUCACGUCCAAUGACAGAGGUUAAGCGUCAUCGACGUUGUCAGUACUUGGGAGGAUGACCAUCUGGGAACACCGCGUGCC